ensembl:lncRNA
GAUCCUAAUCAGCACUCUGUGUAUAUGCAGUCUUAUCUUCCCUCUAUCAAGACAUCUUUUGAUGUGCCUGCCCUAUGUUGACCUCUUUGUUUUUGUGGAUUUUGUUCUCAUUUGGACUUCAUUUCAUUGGCCAUCAAAGCCUGCUAUUUGUUGGGGCUUUCUGACUUCUGCCUCCUACAUGUGGGUCCUUAUUCCUGCUCAUUGCGAUACAUACAAAGGUCAUAACAAGAAGAACAGAUUGUAAUGGAUCUUGUUUCCUUGAACCGCUUGAGUUAAAUAUGUUUCCUUGUGUGACGUGGCAGACUGCAGAUGGGACUCACCCGCUCCAGCUGGAUGUAGAACGUCUGGUCCCAGCUCAGCCUGCUGAUGGCUGCCCAGCGCGUCCGGCCGACCACUCUGCCGUCCAGCCUGAGCACGCCACUGAUCUCUGCGCUGCUCCUUUUAGGGGUCGCCACAGCAGAUCAUCUGUCUCCAUCUCACCCUCUCACUGGCAUCCCCAAACCUCUACUUGUCUUCCUUCAUUACAUCAGGUGCCUGGCAGCUCCAUAUUCAACAUCCUUUGUCCAGUUUAUCCUCUGUCCUUCCUCUGCACAUUUCCAAACAAUCUCAGUCCUGCCUCUAACUUUGUCUCCAAACCGCUCAUCCUCAGCAGUCUCUCUGAUGUCAUUAUUUCUAAUCCUGUCUAUCCUGGUCAUUCCCAAUAAAAAACCUCGACAUCUUCACCUCUGCCACCUCCAGCUCUGCUUUGUGUCUUUUUAUCAGUGCCAACA